GGAUGUGGCUCAGGGGUAGAGCGCUUGCCUCGCAUGCAUGAAGCCCUGGGUUCGAUCCCUCAGCACCA
rnacentral:tRNA from 1 species